GGAGGCAUAGCUCAGCCGGUAGAGCACCUGCUCCACACGCAGGGGGUCGUAGAUUCGAGUUCUACUGUCUCCACCA
rnacentral:tRNA from 1 species